UCUCCGUGUAAGAAAUGAGAAAAUGCUUCAAUAAAACGUGAAAACCACCCCCCUCCCCCCAAAUUAAAAUCAUAAUAAUAUCAACAAGAGUAGCGCGACCCCUGUUAUGACGCCACUUCACCGUCAAGGCAGGAGGUCGCGGUGUAGUUGGAAGUGGCGACAGGACGACAAAGUCCACACAGAUCAUUCAUUGAAAGUCAUCAUCUUUAUUAAAAUGCCACUGCUAGUACAAGAAAAGGCUCAUCUCACUCAAUCUCCUGUCUCUGCAGUCUGCAUAUGAUGCCACCCGUACUCCUCCCUCGGGAGGUGUUUAGGGCACGUCCGACCGGUAGGAGGCCACAGGGAAGACCCAGGACACGUUGGGAAGCCUGUCUCCCGGCUCGCCUGGGAACGCCUCGAGAUCCACCGGGAAGCUCUGGACGAAGUGGCUAGGGAGAGGGAAGUCUGGGCUUCCCUGCUUAGGCUGCUGCCCCCGCGACCCGAUCUCAGAUAAGCGGAAGAAGAUGGAUGGAUGGAUGGAUGGAUUGUUUAAUACAUGUGGCACUGUUUAUCUUACAAAAGACCCGUGACUAUAUGUGUAGCUUUUGACAUGGCAUACAGAAACAUUUUCUUGUGUUUAUUGCUGUAACACAUUACACUUAAGGAACUUUGGAAAGCCAAUCCCACAAUAAAAACAGUCAUCCAUCCAUUUUCUACCGCUUGUUCCUUUUUGGGUUUGCGGGGGGUGCUGGAGCCUAUCUCAGCUGCA